rnacentral:rRNA from 1 species
GAUGAACGCUGGCGGCGUGCCUAAUACAUGCAAGUCGAGCGAACGGACGAGAGGCUUGCUUCUCUGAUGUUAGCGGCGGACGGGUGAGUAACACGUGGAUAACCUACCUAUAAGACUGGGAUAACUUCGGGAAACCGUAGCUAAUACCGGAUAAUAUUUUGAACCGCAUGGUUCAAAAGUGAAAGACGGUCUUGCUGUCACUUAUAGAUGGAUCCGCGCUGCAUUAGCUAGUUGGUAAGGUAACGGCUUACCAAGGCAACGAUGCAUAGCCGACCUGAGAGGGUGAUCGGCCACACUGGAACUGAGACACGGUCCAGACUCCUACGGGAGGCAGCAGUAGGGAAUCUUCCGCAAUGGGCGAAAGCCUGACGGAGCAACGCCGCGUGAGUGAUGAAGGUCUUCGGAUCGUAAAACUCUGUUAUUAGGGAAGAACAAAUGUGUAAGUAACUGUGCACAUCUUGACGGUACCUAAUCAGAAAGCCACGGCUAACUACGUG